ACGCUCGACACCUACGGGAGGCAGCAGUGGGGAAUAUUGCACAAUGGGGGAAACCCUGAUGCAGCGACGCCGCGUGAGCGAAGAAGUAUUUCGGUAUGUAAAGCUCUAUCAGCAGGGAAGAUAAUGACGGUACCUGACUAAGAAGCUCCGGCUAAAUACGUGCCAACAGCCGCGGUAAUCUGAGCGGGCUGGCAAGGC
rnacentral:rRNA from 1 species